UCAUGUUAGUUCAAUUAAGCAUUUGCUGUUAGUAUUACACAAUAUGCAAUAGUUCAUAUUACAGUUCGCUGAAUUUGAUGAACAGACGGUUUACCACCUAUCACACACAACACCCAGCUCUGACACAGGUAUGAGGGACAUUG